GCCUGAUUUGAUGAUCCCUGAAAUGUGGACAUACAUGCAGUCCAGCACAGUGGAAUAUUUAUCAACAAAAUAGCUGAUUUGUCACUUUGUCUGAACCCAACUGUGGACAUGACUAUGGCCAGCACCAGCAGCAUAUUUUGCUAUUGCAGCGCUAGCAGGAAGUUGGGAAAUGAAUGUCUCUUUGGAACUUUAUUAAAACAAUGGAUGUGAAAAAUAAUUCUUGUAGAUUUACAAACAUUCUUACAAAAGGAAUGAGAUAUGGAGCAAUAUUUUGAGAUAAGGUUAAUGCUUUUGAGCUUGCUCUUUCAUGCCUAAGGGGUGUAACACAUAUG